rnacentral:rRNA from 1 species
UACGUAGGGGGCAAGCGUUGUCCGGAUUUAUUGGGCGUAAAAGGCUUGUAGGUGGCCACGCCAAGUCGGAUGUGAAAUCUCCCGGCUCAACUGGGAGGGGUCAUUCGAUACUGGCGGGCUCGAGGCCGGUAGGGGGAAGUGGAAUUCCCGGUGUAGUGGUGGAAUGCGUAGAUAUCGGGAGGAACACCAGUGGCGAAGGCGGCUUCCUGGACCGGUUCUGACACUGAGGAGCGAAAGCAUGGGGAGCGAACAGG